UCCUGUAAGACCAAGGAGUCCCAAGGAGAGAUACAGUGGACUUUUCAAAUGUUCUACAAACAAAGAGCAAUGCAUCCUUCACUAGCAUCUUAUUUCCUGAUUUUUGUUUUAUUUUGUUCUGUUUUGUUAGUAUUCAUUUUAAUGUCUUCUUUGGAAGAGAUAGAUUUUUCUCCAAUUUAAAAAGAAACAGGAAUGACCAUCUAGAGUAGAAUGGAUAACAUACAGUAGAAUUUUGCAUGAAUCUUAAAAAUGUAAUAUUAAGAAAAACAAGUCACAGAAGAAUAUGUUUAAUAUGAUUCCAUCUGUACAAAGGUCAAAAAUAGGUAAAAUUAAAUAAUUUAUUUAUAGAGAUCCAUAUGUAAGUGGUAAAACUAUAAAGAAUAGCAAGGAACAGCUAACAUACAAUGCAGAAUUAUUGUGUCUUGGAAGGGGGCAAUAGAGAGAGGGAGAUGUGAUCAAGGAGGCAUGGGGGAGUAAGGGGGAGGUGUCCCAAAUAUGGACAAUAUUCUGUUAUUACUUAUGUUGAUGGUGCAUGCCUGAGUGUUAAUUUUAUUAUUAUUCUUUAAACUGACCAUAAAUGUUAUCAUAUACUCUUAUAAAUGUAUAAUUUACAAAUUUGACUUUUUUUAAAAGAGAUGGGUCAAUUUUUAUCAUUUCAUUUUGUUUCUUGAAAUCCCAGCACGCCUAUCUUCUGAAAGUAGCCUUCACCUAGAGAAAUCUGUGAAGAAACUCAAGAUGCAGGGUUUCCAGACUCGUAAAUAAUGCAGCCAUAGAGCAACAAUAAACGAAUAAAUUAAAAAUCAGGAAAAAAAAUCACUGGUUGGAUGAUUUUUAAAAGUCGGCCUCCAUAUAUACUGCCUGUCAUGGCCUGACACUCAAGGCCUUUUACCAGUGGAACCCAGUCUUUCUAAAGAGUAUUUCCUAGAACUUCCCUGUGAAGCUUCUUUCCUUGUGAAAUAUGAUUCCCUGUGCAAGCCUUACAUUUUCCACCCUUGUGCUUUGAUGAUCUCUUUCCAGUUACCUAUAUUUCCCACCCUCUUGAUGAUUGGCCAUCACAGUUUGACCUCUUCUGGGAAACCACCAUGAUAACCUCAUAACCUCAGCCUGAAGUGCUCUAGCCUUUUCCUGAACUCUUCAACAACUGCCUAUUUAAUUUUUCAAGCAGUUAAUCUUGUGUGCCUUGUAACACUGGCAUUUUCACCAACCAGAUUUAUUUUCCUCCUUGGCAAGGAGCUGGACUGUAUUUCCUGUCCUCCUUUGCAGGUAGCUGUAGCCACGUGAUUGAGUUCUGCCCAAAGGAAUGCAGAUACCAGGCCAGAGCAGACUGCUUUAAAAUCACAGCUUUAAAAUCCAGCAGAAGAAGUUUCCAAGUUGGAGGAGGAUCAAGAGGAGAAUCUGGAAGAGUAAACAAAGAAAGAAGAUGUGCGCUUCACCACAUAAAUUGAAUCUGCAAAGCAUAUGGAAACCUCAGGUGUAUCUGACUCAUAAUAUUAAUAUUUUCUCUAAGAUCUACAAUCUCCCUCCUUCUCUUCUCCACUUUUCUGAAAUAACUCACAUCUGUGAAGUUUCUUCUUUUUUUAUAUUUCUCAGUCCCUACUGAUGCACAGAACUCACUAGUAUCGACAAGCCCAGGCAACCUUUGGUAGCAAGUCAGGGUGGCGUAAUGAAAGGUUUGGGGAAAAAACUCCCCACCGCAGUCUGGUUCACUCAAACAGCUUGCCAAGAUGAUGCGGUUCUCACGCAAAGAAAAAGUGCUCCUUCACCUGUACCAGCAAGUUUCUCCCCCUAAGAUAGCAGACUGCAUUUGUUUUGACACUGAGUGAGUCGCUCUUUUCUUUCAUAGGCUGACACUUGUUCUGUCCCUUGAAGCUGCAAACUACCUCAAGAGCAAGUUUUUCUUUCUACAUGUACUGUCUUCACUUACUUACUAAUGUGCAAAACUUGAGGGGCACAAAAGGAACAGGAAUACCAAGCAAAAAGCCAACAGACUCUGGUACCCGUUCUUGUAAUGCACUUCCAUUACCAAAGGAAGACGGUCUCUUUUCGAUUGUGAUGUGAAAAGUAGACAAGUGAUAGCUUCCUACAUCUGGCUUAGUCAAAGGAAGUUCAAAGCCUUCUCUAUAUUCUGGAUUCCCACCUUCCUAUCUCUGAAAUUAUAUUUAUAGAGACUAUAGAGUAGAUCUUAAUUCUCAGCAACUACAAACAAUGGACUCUGAACAGUUAUUUAUAUGUGAGCUUUGAAUCUACCAGCCUCCAUUCAUUAUUUGAUGAACUAGUAUUAAUAAAAUAUUCACAGCUCAUUUGUUAACUCUUCCAGGGAACCAGCAUUUCACUCAGACCUCUGAAAAUCAUCAUUGUGCGUUUUAAGAAGCAACAGAAAACUCAACUGAAUAAGAACUGACCUCCUUUCUGGCUGCCCUGGUAGAUCACGCUUAGUAGCUGCAGUCUUCAUGGUGCCUGUCCCCUGGGCCAGGACACCAGAUGCCCCAUGACUAAGUCUAAUGCAUCUAGGAACCAUAGAUGGAGCAAUAAGAGCAUGCCUUUGGGACAAUGGAUGGAAUCAGAGUUGAACUGAAGCCAACUCCAGUUUUUUAAGGAAAAAUUUUCAUGACACUUCCAGAUAAGAAAAUUGAGGCACAAAAGGAUUGAAUAACUUACAAGGAGUUAUCCACAGGAAGUGAGAAAGAGCCACCAGAAGAGAGAGGCUGUGGAGCCCCCUUGGUUGUCUGAGGACUUGAUCUACAUUAAUCUGUGUGCUGCCCGUGGGUCUAGGUGGUGAGCCCACCAUAACCGGAGACAUCUCACCUGUUAAGAAAUGCUGGUCCAGAGCUUAACUCAAGAAGCCUUGGGGUCAUUAGGGCUGCACCCAGCACGCCCCUGGCACAUCACGCACACACCUCUUUGGACACUAACUGUUACCAGCAAACAGCUCUGUAAGGAGUUCGGAGGAGAUCGUGCCCUCCAGGUCUCUGGAAAAAAUGGUAAAGGUCUCUGAGGACACAGAGGGCACUGCCUUCCCAGCACCAGGAGAAUCCUGCCCUACACCCUACAGUCCUUAUCUGCAAACUCAAGGCGUGGUGUUCAGACCCCCGUGGUUGUGGGCAGCAGCCUUCCCAGAGUCGGGACUACAGUCUGCUUGCAACUGUUCUCCUGGGUGUCUCGCUGCUGCUCCACUCUUUCCCUGACCCCUCAGGCCAGCUUGGACCCAAGUCCUGACAUGUCCACGUUCUCAGACUUUAUCCCUCCAAGUAUGCAUGAGUCAGGGCAGCUGGGAUCUCUGGAUCUUAAAGCACCUCCUCCUGCACCACUCCCACCCCUACCGCCUGACCACACCUCCACCUUUGCCCCUGCUGGAUCUUGAACUCUGGCGCUCUCAGAGCAGCCAGCCAGCUUGAAGUCUGAGCUUUGACCUGCGCCCUGUAAUUCAACCUUGUCUCCUCCUCAGACUUAAUGUUCCUACACUUGUUUUAUGAACUUACCCUCCAGCUCUGAGCUCUAGCUCUGCCUUGGCUGGCCUGUUACCUGAGCCACAGAGCCAGGCUGGCAGAGUCCCUAAAGUCUCUUCAUGCCUAUUCCCCAGGUUUGCUGAAGCUAUUUCUGUGCUUCCAGAUUCCAAGGAAUCUCCAAAUAUAGGACAAAAGUGGAAACUAAGGGAAAGAGAGUUAAUAGGGAACACAUUGUCCCAGUAAAUUUCCGCUGUGAAUGCUGGAUGAGGAAUUACAGAAAGGCAGUUUUUAUAUCACCAUUGACAAGUAUUCUUAAGGGAAGGUGAAGCUUGGGUGAUAGAAUGAGAUAGAUAUUCACUGGAAGUAGAACAAGCCUGAAUCGAAAGCUCAUCUCUUUUACUGGGCUCCUUUCAUGGAUAAGAAGAUGGAGGACCAAAAAUAUAAAUUGACUUGACCAAUAUCACUCUAGUUAAAAUAGAGCAAAGUUGGAACAAGAAUCUUGCUUCCUUGUUGGGUACAGUAUUCUCCACCUUCGUUCUUUCAACAAGCAUCCAUUGAGUAUGUACUCAAGGCCAUGUUAUUACAAUUUACCAAUUCUUGGGUAUAUAAUAGGUUUUAGAAAGAUUCAAAAUGAAUAUAACAAAAAGAGCCAUUUUAAGGGACAUUGAUCUGGUAAAAAAAAAAAAAAGGAAAUAUAUAUUAAGGAUUUUAAAGUAAUCCAAGGUUAUUUAUGAUUGUGUGGUAAUAGAAGUAUACAUAAUAAAUAAAUAGAAGUUUUCAUGGGAAUUCAGAAAGAAGAACCAUCAAAUUGGGCUGUGAGUCUCAAGGAAGACAUGUUGGAUGCUACAGAAAUUAAACUGGGAGACAAAAGGUAGGAUUUAGAACCUUUGAAAGGAGUGAGAAGGAUUUUUAAGUAGGAGAAACUGAAGUUUUUUGUUGGGAUUUAGAAGAAAAGGUUGUAUUGUUUGUGUGGGGACAGAUUAUAGAAAACCUUGGGAAAAACCCAUCAAAAGUGUUCAGGGGCUUCCCUGGUGGCGCAGUGGUUGAGAGUCCACCUGCCGAUGCAGGGGACACGGGUUCGUGCCCCGGUCCGGGAAGAUCCCACAUGUCGCGGAG